AUUGAACGCUGGCGGCAUGCCUUACACAUGCAAGUCGAACGGCAGCGGACCUUCGGGUGCCGGCGAGUGGCGAACGGGUGAGUAAUAUAUCGGAACGUACCUUUCAGUGGGGGAUAACGUAGCGAAAGUUACGCUAAUACCGCAUAUUCCGUGAGCAGGAAAGCAGGGGAUCGCAAGACCUUGCGCUGAUUGAGCGGCCGAUAUCAGAUUAGCUAGUUGGUGAGGUAAAGGCUCACCAAGGCGACGAUCUGUAGCGGGUCUGAGAGGAUGAUCCGCCACACUGGAACUGAGACACGGUCCAGACUCCUACGGGAGGCAGCAGUGGGGAAUUUUGGACAAUGGGCGCAAGCCUGAUCCAGCCAUGCCGCGUGAGUGAAGAAGGCCU
rnacentral:rRNA from 1 species